AGCUGCACUCCCACUGCGCUUCUCGCUGCUCUCUCUCUUCUCUCUUUGAUACGUGUCUCUGAGACUUUUCCACCUACAGCGGCAGAUCUCCUCUGCCAUGAAACACAUAUGCCGGCGGUUGGUUGAUAGUAAAGUACAACAAAUAGCGAGAAUAAAAGCAAAUACAUACAUUCAAAACGUACCAGGUAGUCCCACGGCUUCUCCGACCUUGUUCCACGCUUUAUCUUUAUAGCUCCGGUUUCGGACGAUGACGAGCGGAGCUGCUCAACGCUGAUUGGCUGACGCAACUAUGACUCACGCGUCUUUGCUGCCAGAGUUGGGAAAUUUGAACUCGCGCGUCAACGAGCUGCGUCUGUUCGCGCUGUUCGCUGAGUUCGCCCCGCGACAAACCCUCUGUUCGUGCUGCUUCAAACGCGUCUGACGCGCUGCUCGCUGGAAAAUACGCAGCUACGCAGCUUCGACGCAGCUUUGCAUUGACUUAACAUGUAAUCUCGACGCGCGUCAAAAUUUUGACGCGUCCGGUGUGAACACACCAUUACCUCGAGCAAUGAGGUCGGCCACUGGGGUGUACGACGUAAGAUUCCACAACUCAGACUACGAGGAUCACCUGAACCUCUGGAGAGGAGCCGCAUCAGACGGGAGGUAAUCAAGCGCACUCAACUCUCUCCUCUGCUCUGCCCACACAGGACGAAGGAACCGUCUCACACCGAAUGCAGACCGAAGGCUUAAGACCCCGAGGAAUCCUUUGUUAAGUUUGACCACAUGACCCUUUACCCUAACCUACUUAUUAAAGGACACUUUUUGUUAAAUGAU